rnacentral:lncRNA from 1 species
CAGGAGGGCACCUCGCUUUCCCCUCUGGAAGCAGCAGAGCGGUUGGGAGCCCUGUUGCUGCCUGUGGCUGCGUGGUGACCAUUCUUGAAACGUCUCCAAAUUUUUGUCUGUUGUGCUAAUGUCCCAGUCCUUUUUCAUACAGAGGGUUUUGACCUUGGAGAAAUCCAGAAGAAAUCAAUGGAAAAUGGAAGCUGUCAGUCUCCGUACCUCCAGCAGGAGCUUCUCUGUACAUCCCAUAUGCAUAUUUCUUGGAUGGGAAGGGUGUCGAUUUCUCUUGUAGUCAAACCAGUGACUGAUUCAUCACUAAACUAUCUCUUCCUGUAAUUCCCUGCUACUUCAUUCAGCUGAUUGUAUCUUAGGGAGCAGAGAUAAGUGCCGGAGCAAUACAAAGAGAGCUGGCUGAUAAAUUAAGCUUCAGGUGAAUGGGAAAAACGCAGGAGCAGAUGAAGCUGAUGGAAACUGGAACCUCACCCUGUUGCUGGAACUGUUAUUAACUCGGCUGUAAGAUGGAAUUAAAUAAAAAUAAUAAGCAGACUCGUAAUAACAUUUUAUUAAAGAUACUGUAUCGAGGCAUAGAUUAAGCUUUAAAGAUGACGAAAAUUAACCUGGCAUGUCUUCAUUGAUACUCUACAUAGACUACAAAUAAUUGCUAAGUUACAGAACAGUCAGAGCCUGUUCUAGAUGUCCUCUGCUUAAAAAAUAAGGGAAGUUAAAUGGUUCAAGGCCUAUCUUUAGGUGAUACUAUGAACAUAUUUCCCUUCUCUUCUCUGCUUUGCAGAAGUGGGUGCUUCCUGCUCCCUAUGGAAAGGACAUCACAUUUUCUAUUAGAUUUCCCACCUACAACGAGCCUUUUCCCUCAGGAGUCCCCAGUGGUAUCUUGCAUUUUCUGGAUAUUCACUGUCCUCCCCAUUGCUCUAGCACCACCACUGGGACAGCAGUGUCAGCAUUCCAGUCCUGUACUGUAGCCCUUUAAAAUUCCUGUAUUUAUUUUUGAGAUGUUUUGUGUUAAUACUGCUGUUUCCUUAAGCACCUAAAGGCUGAAAGGUCUGGGGCUCUGAAAUCAGAUUAAGGAACAACAUUCAAAGAUACCUGAACAUCUUUUCUUGCAUUUGUAUAGCAACUUUAUCAACUCAAAAAGAGUAAAGCAAGCACAGACACAUGCCCUGUACAAGCUGCA